GGCGUGCUUAACACAUGCAAGUCGAGCGGAAAGGCCCUUCGGGGUACUCGAGCGGCGAACGGGUGAGUAACACGUGAGCAACCUGCCCCAAGCUUUGGGAUAACCCUCGGAAACGGGGGCUAAUACCGAAUAUUACUGCUGGUCGCAUGGCUGGUGGUGGAAAGUUUUUCGGCUUGGGAUGGGCUCGCGGCCUAUCAGCUUGUUGGUGGGGUGAUGGCCUACCAAGGCGACGACGGGUAGCCGGCCUGAGAGGGCGACCGGCCACACUGGGACUGAGACACGGCCCAGACUCCUACGGGAGGCAGCAGUGGGGAAUAUUGCACAAUGGGCGGAAGCCUGAUGCAGCGACGCCGCGUGAGGGAUGACGGCCUUCGGGUUGUAAACCUCUUUCAGCAGGGACGAAGCGAGAGUGACGGUACCUGCAGAAGAAGCACCGGCCAACUACGUGCCAGCAGCCGCGGUAAGACGUAGGGUGCGAGCGUUGUCCGGAUUUAUUGGGCGUAAAGAGCUCGUAGGCGGCUUGUCGCGUCGACCGUGAAAACUUGGGGCUCAACCCCAAGCCUGCGGUCGAUACGGGCA
rnacentral:rRNA from 1 species